UACGUAGGCAGCAAGCGUUGUUCGGAGUUACUGGGCGUAAAGGGUGUGUAGGCGGUUGUUUUAGUUUGGUGUGAAAUCUCCCGGCUCAACUGGGAGGGUGCGCCGAAUACUGAAUGACUAGAGUGCGGGAGAGGAAAGUGGAAUUCCUAGUGUAGAGGUGAAAUUCGUAGAUAUCAGGAGGAACACCUGCGGUGUAGACGGCUUUCUGGACCAUUGCUGACGCUGAGACACGAAAGCGUGGGUAGCAAACAGG
rnacentral:rRNA from 1 species